GAGCAUAUCAAUAAGCGGAGGAAAAGAAACCAACAGGGAUUGCCUCAGUAACGGCGAGUGAAGCGGCAACAGCUCAAAUUUGAAAUCUGGCCCUAGGCCCGAGUUGUAAUUUGCAGAGGAUGCUUUUGGUGCGGUGCCUUCCAAGUUCCCUAGAACGGGACGCCAGAGAGGGUGAGAGCCCCGUACAGUUGGACACCAAGCCUUUGUAAAGCUCCUUCGACGAGUCGAGUAGUUUGGGAAUGCUGCUCAAAAUGGGAGGUAUAUUUCUUCUAAAGCUAAAUACCGGCCAGAGACCGAUAGCGCACAAGUAGAGUGAUCGAAAGAUGAAAAGCACUUUGAAAAGAGGGUUAAACAGCACGUGAAAUUGUUAAAAGGGAAGCGCUUGUGACCAGACUUGCGUCCGGUGAAUCACCCAGCUCUCGCGGCUGGGGCACUUCGCCGGCUCAGGCCAGCAUCAGCUCGCUGUCGGGGACAAAAGCUUCGGGAACGUAGCUCUCUUCGGGGAGUGUUAUAGCCUGUUGCACAAUACCCUUCGGCGGGCUGAGGUACGCGCUCCGCAAGGAUGCUGGCAUAAUGGUCAUCAGCGACCCGUCUUGAAACACGGACCAAGGAGUCAACCUUAUGUGCGAGUGUUCGGGUGUCAAACCCCUACGCGUAAUGAAAGUGAACGCAGGUGAGAGCUUCGGCGCAUCAUCGACCGAUCCUGAUGUUCUCGGAUGGAUUUGAGUAAGAGCAUAUAGGGUUGGACCCGAAAGAAGGUGAACUAUGCGUGUAUAGGGUGAAGCCAGAGGAAACUCUGGUGGAGGCUCGCAGCGGUUCUGACGUGCAAAUCGAUCGUCAAAUAUGCGCAUGGGGGCGAAAGACUAAUCGAACCUUCUAGUAGCUGGUUUCCGCCAA
rnacentral:rRNA from 1 species